CGUAGGUGGUUUGUCGUGUUGUUCGUGAAAUCUCACGGCUUAACUGUGAGCGUGCGGGCGAUACGGGCAGACUUGAGUACUGCAGGGGAGACUGGAAUUCCUGGUGUAGCGGUGGAAUGCGCAGAUAUCAGGAGGAACACCGGUGGCGAAGGCGGGUCUCUGGGCAGUAACUGACGCUGAGGAGCGAAAGCGUGGGGAGCGAACAGGAUUAGAUACCCUGGUAGUCCACGCCGUAAACGGUGGGUACUAGGUGUGGGUUUCCUUCCUUGGGAUCCGUGCCGUAGCUAACGCAUUAAGUACCCCGCCUGGGGAGUACGGCCGCAAGGCUAAAACUCAAAGAAAUUGACGGGGGCCCGCACAAGCGGCGGAGCAUGUGGAUUAAUUCGAUGCGACGCGAAGAACCUUACCUGGGUUUGACAUGCACAGGACGCCGGCAGAGAUGUCGGUUCCCUUGUGGCCUGUGUGCAGGUGGUGCAUGGCUGUCGUCAGCUCGUGUCGUGAGAUGUUGGGUUAAGUCCCGCAACGAGCGCAACCCUUGUCUCAUGUUGCCAGCGGGUAAUGCCGGGGACUCGUGAGAGACUGCCGGGGUCAACUCGGAGGAAGGUGGGGAUGACGUCAAGUCAUCAUGCCCCUUAUGUCCAGGGCUUCACACAUGCUACAAUGGCCGGUACAAAGGGCUGCGAUGCCGCGAGGUUAAGCGAAUCUCCAAAAGCCGUCUCAGUUCGGAUUGUUCUCUGCAACUCGAGAGCAUGAAGGCGGAAUCGCUAGUAAU
rnacentral:rRNA from 1 species